GCAUAUCAAUAAGCGGAGGAAAAGAAACUAACAAGGAUUCCCCUAGUAACGGCGAGUGAAGCGGGAUGAGCUCAAAUUUAAAAUCUGGCGGCCUCAGGUCGUCCGAGUUGUAGUCUAGAGAAUCGUUUUCCGCGUUGGCCUGUGUACAAGUCCCUUGGAACAGGGCGUCAUAGAGGGUGAGAAUCCCGUCCUUGACACAGACUACCAAUGCUUUGUGAUGCGAUCUCGAAGAGUCGAGUUGUUUGGGAAUGCAGCUCAAAAUGGGUGGUAAAUUCCAUCUAAAGCUAAAUAUUGGCGAGAGACCGAUAGCGAACAAGUACCGUGAGGGAAAGAUGAAAAGCACUUUGGAAAGAGAGUUAAACAGUACGUGAAAUUGUUAAAAGGGAAACGAUUGAAGUCAGUCAUGCUUUCCGAGACUCAGCCGAUUCUGUCGGUGUACUUCUCGGUUGGCAGGCCAGCAUCAGUUUCGAUCUGUGGAAAAGGUUGGAGGGAACGUGGCAUCCUCGGAUGUGUUAUAGCCCUUCUUCGAAUACAUAGAGCGGGACUGAGGAACGCAGCGCGCCUUUUAUUAGGUUGGCCCUCGGGUACAUACGCGCUUAGGAUGCUGGCAUAAUGGCUUUAAACGACCCGUCUUGAAACACGGACCAAGGAGUCUAACAUGUUUGCGAGUGUUUGGGUGGUAAACCCGAACGCGUAAUUAAAGUGAAUGCAGGUGGGAUCCGCAAGGAGCACCAUCGACCGAUCUGGAUCUUUUGUGAUGGAUUUGAGUAAGAGCACAUAUGUUGGGACCCGAAAGAUGGUGAACUAUGCCUGAAUAGGGCGAAGCCAGAGGAAACUCUGGUGGAGGCUCGUAGCGAUUCUGACGUGCAAAUCGAUCGUCAAAUUUGGGUAUAGGGGCGAAAGACUAAUCGAACCAUCUAGUAGCUGGUUCCUGCGA
rnacentral:rRNA from 1 species